AGGAAGAGCAAGAAGACGACAAGCACUGCUAAUGCUUGCCCCCAGGGUUAAACUCCGUGGCUUCCUC
rnacentral:tRNA from 1 species